rnacentral:rRNA from 1 species
ACGCUAGCUACAGGCUUAACACAUGCAAGUCGAGGGGAAACGGCAUUGAGUGCUUGCACUCUUUGGACGUCGACCGGCGCACGGGUGAGUAACGCGUAUCCAACCUUCCCAUUACUGUGGGAUAACCUGCCGAAAGGCAGACUAAUACCGCAUAGUCUUCGAUGACGGCAUCAGAUUUGAAGUAAAGAUUUAUCGGUAAUGGAUGGGGAUGCGUCUGAUUAGCUUGUUGGCGGGGUAACGGCCCACCAAGGCGACGAUCAGUAGGGGUUCUGAGAGGAAGGUCCCCCACAUUGGAACUGAGACACGGUCCAAACUCCUACGGGAGGCAGCAGUGAGGAAUAUUGGUCAAUGGACGGAAGUCUGAACCAGCCAAGUAGCGUGCAGGAUGACGGCCCUAUGGGUUGUAAACUGCUUUUGUAUGGGGAUAAAGUUAGGGACGUGUCCCUAUUUGCAGGUACCAUACGAAUAAGGACCGGCUAAUUCCGUGCCAGCAGCCGCGGUAAUACGGAAGGUCCAGGCGUUAUCCGGAUUUAUUGGGUUUAAAGGGAGCGUAGGCUGGAGAUUAAGUGUGUUGUGAAAUGUAGACGCUCAACGUCUGAAUUGCAGCGCAUACUGGUUUCCUUGAGUACGCACAACGUUGGCGGAAUUCGUCGUGUAGCGGUGAAAUGCUUAGAUAUGACGAAGAACUCCGAUUGCGAAGGCAGCUGACGGGAGCGCAACUGACGCUUAAGCUCGAAGGUGCGGGUAUCAAACAGGAUUAGAUACUCUGGUAGUCCGCACAGUAAACGAUGGAUGCCCGCUGUUGGUACCUGGUAUCAGCGGCUAAGCGAAAGCAUUAAGCAUCCCACCUGGGGAGUACGCCGGCAACGGUGAAACUCAAAGGAAUUGACGGGGGCCCGCACAAGCGG